CAUCACAUCCUGGGGCUGAAGUAGGUCCCAAGGGUAUGGCUGUUCGCCAUUUAAAGUGGUACGCGAGCUGGGUUUAGAACGUCGUGAGACAGUUCGGUCCCUAUCUGCCGUGGGCGCUGGAGAAUUGAGGGGGGCUGCUCCUAGUACGAGAGGACCGGAGUGGACGCAUCACUGGUGUUCGGGUUGUCAUGCCAAUGGCACUGCCCGGUAGCUAAAUGCGGAAGAGAUAAGUGCUGAAAGCAUCUAAGCACGAAACUUGCCCCGAGAUGAGUUCUCCCUGAGACUUAAAGUCUCCUAAAGGAACGUUGAAGACGACGACGUUGAUAGGUCGGGUGUGUAAGCGCAGCGAUGCGUUGAGCUAACCGAUACUAAUGAACCGUGAGGCUUAACCUUACAACGCCGAAG
rnacentral:rRNA from 1 species